rnacentral:lncRNA from 1 species
GACUCUAGUAGGGAUAGAAGGGGGAUACAUUGCGUGAGCAGGUCACGACUCAAAGUUUGGGGAGUUGAAUUUCCAAAGGCGUAAAUCCAAUGGAAAGAUUCGAGCUGACUCGAAGACGCCCGUAUUGGGGAAUAUGCCAAUACAGCAAAACUAUCCGUAACGGAUACCUCGGAUAAAAAUUCGGAUUCAGAUGGGGACGAUCCACUAAUGAAAACUUCACUGGGGAUACCCAAAAGAAAUCUCCUGGGGAAGCAGCGGG